AGUGAACGCUGGCGGUAGGCCUAACACAUGCAAGUCGAACGGCAGCACAGAGGAGCUUGCUCCUUGGGUGGCGAGUGGCGGACGGGUGAGGAAUACAUCGGAAUCUACUCUGUCGUGGGGGAUAACGUAGGGAAACUUACGCUAAUACCGCAUACGACCUACGGGUGAAAGCAGGGGAUCUUCGGACCUUGCGCGAUUGAAUGAGCCGAUGUCGGAUUAGCUAGUUGGCGGGGUAAAGGCCCACCAAGGCGACGAUCCGUAGCUGGUCUGAGAGGAUGAUCAGCCACACUGGAACUGAGACACGGUCCAGACUCCUACGGGAGGCAGCAGUGGGGAAUAGUGGACAGUGGGCGCAAGCCUGAUCCAGCCAUACCGCGUGGGUGAAGAAGGCCUUCGGGUUGUAAAGCCCUUUUGUUGGGAAAGAAAUCCAUCUGGUUAAUACCCGGGUGGGAUGACGGUACCCAAAGAAUAAGCACCGGCUAACUUCGUGCCAGCAGCCGCCGUAA
rnacentral:rRNA from 1 species